ACCAACGCUGCUCCGCCGCCAAUCUCGUUCCUGUGUCUCCUCAUGUGACCUCCUAGAGCUUGUCCCAUCGGAAACUCCACUCCGCAUAUCGGACAAGGGUGCGACGAAGGAGCUUUGGCUUUCUUCACCAAUCCAGAGAGACUCUCAUUGUUGUUAGGUUUCUUGUGACUCGCACGGUGACCUCCCAACGCUUGAAACGAAUGAAACUCUUUCAAACACGUUUUACAUGUGAAAACGCGUUUUUGAUCCCCACCUUUUUGUCCGACUCUUGAUAAAAGCAUCAGACAGUUCGCCGCCUUAGCCUCCACCGUCGGGUUAAUCUCAGAGAUUGCAACCAUUUUUGUUUUUCUUUUCAGAUGUUAAAACGAAACGAUUAAAGGUUUGUGUAUGUGUUUGGUGUGAUUGUUAUUGUUGUGAGUUGUUGUUGUGUUUGUGUCUGUUUGUUUGGGAUGUAUUUAUAGAUAUGGAGUUGUGUGGACUGAAGACGUGUGGGAAGAUGACGGAUAUACCCUUGUGACUUGGUGGAUAAGGAAGUGGCUGGGAAGGAGUGUGGUGUUAUCGUAAUUACGUGGAAAAUGAAGGGGUAGAGAACGAAGAUGCGAGUUAUGUGGUCACGACUUGCGACACCGCGUAGCUUUGGAGACUUUCGUGUGGAUGAGAAUCUUCCUCGUGCUUUCUCGAACCCUUAGAUAUUUUUUUUGAAAACAUUAAUACUCUGAGUUUGAUUUAUUGUCUUCUAGUUACUACUUACUACACCCUGCGCGUGAUUUUCUCAGCCGUCUCUAGAUACUAUAUUUUAUAAUCAGCCUCCUGGAUAUUUUUGAUUCAUACAAAUGUACUUUUAAAAUCAUGGUUUGGAUUCCUAACUUAUUUUAUUAGCUUAUACUAAAUAAAACUGAAAACAGAAAACAGUAUUAUUGGUUUCUUUUUUUUGUACAAAUUUUUUUGCUUAUAGCAAUUUUUAUUUACUUAUUUAAAUUAUAAUUUAUCCAGAAGUAUGAUAUAUACUGGAAUAGCUAGCAAAGAGUGUUUGUAUCUCUUGAGGAAGAAAAAUAACAAUUUGUUAUAGAAUGUUCUAUAAAAACUGAUGUCAGCAAUGACCAUUUUACAGUUGAAUCCCAGCGAAGGCAUGACAAAACAAGAUGCGUGAAACGUAGGCGCCGUGUGGAGUAAGUGAGAGUAAAUUAAGGAGGCGAUAUGUACGGAGACUUGGUGUAAACGUGGGAAGCAAGAAGAGGAGAUAAUUUUAAAAAAGGGGAGAGUGACGUGGAUCUUCUUCUAGUACAUGUUUCACGCGGUCUAAACUUGGUUAAGUAGUUGCUUAUAUGCCUUAACAUUCUUGUUUUCACAUUCCCCUCUCGAAGCUUCUCCAUUUAUUGAAUAAUCAGUUAGAUGAUUCGGGUCAAGUACAAAAAGUCUAUUCAAAAACAGUUUAUAUGAUUGGACAAGUAUAUGGUUGUUGGGUGAUAGGAUAACCAACCAACCAACGUAUAAACGGAUAAACAUCACAUAGAUGCCCGACUUGUUUAGUUUGACCCUAGCUCUAUCAAUUUCCGCUGUGCUUUGUACGCCAAAGAAAGAAAUAGUAUGCACUCAUCAUACUUCUAGAGUGUAUAAGGGCAAGAUUAACGGCGUCCCAAUGGGAUGUCCUUAGCAUAAAUGACAUUUAAUUUAAAUCAAAAAGAGACAAUUAUCUAAGGACAUAUCUAAUUUAAGAUGUUUUUGUUGUCGUCGUUAGGUGAUACGUGGCCUGGGGUGAUUGGGCGAUGAAAACGUGGUGGGGAUAAUCGAUUUGGUUAAGUGUUGUGAUUUAAUUUUCUUGCCUUUUCUUCUUCUCGACCGACGAAAUGCCUCUCUUCGAUCUCCUCUCUUCGAUCUCCUCUCUUCUCGACUGACGAAUCUCGAGCCAUCGAUCUCCUCCCUUCGAUCUCCUCUCUUCUCGACCGACGAAUCUCGAGCCAUCGAUCCGACUCCCACGAUGAUAUUUAUCCGAAAUGGGCUACUUUUAUUCAAUCUAUCGGACUCCCACAAGGUCCAAAACAUUGUUUAUUUGCUAAACACCAAGAAUUUGUGCGUAAAGAUGUUGAGCGUGCCUUCGGAGUCCUGCAAGCUAGAUUCGCGGUUGUUAGAAAUCCGUCUAAUUUAUGGGAUAAAAACAAAAUAGGAAAUAUUAUGAGAGCAUGUAUCAUACUCCAUAAUAUGAUUGUCGAAGAUGAACGAGAUUCCUACGGAAACGCAUCAGUAUUUGAACAAGGAGAAGAUGAGGAUCCCACUUUUGUAGUCAGACGACCUACAAAUCUCGGUGCUACAUUGGGACGUCGAGCAGAUGUUCGGGAUACACCAGACCAUCACCAAUUAAAAGCAGAUUUGGUUGAAAAUAUAUGGGAUAAAUUUGGACAUCUCCCAAUGUAAUUUUAAAGUUUCUAUGAAUUGAAUAAAAUGUGUGUUUGCUUUUAAUUCUCUAUGUAUGUUUUCGAUAAUUUGUGUGUUAAAUUAAAUAUGUAAAAUGGAAAUAAGUUUUAUCUUAUAUAUAUUACUAAUUAUUAAAAAAAAAAAAUCCUAAGGACCAAGAAUAAGUCCCACCAAUAAUCAUCAUUUCAACACAAAGUCCUUACAAAUGUCCUAAGCUAAAAAUAACAAUAAAAAAUUAUAAGGACACCAUUCUAAGGACAAUGGAUAAUGAUGCUCUAAGACCAAUCAAAAUAUUUGACUUUUAUUUUAUUUACACUCCCAAUUUCAUUUGGAGUAAUUAUUCUGUAGAAUCAUUUAUUUUUCACUCUAAAAUAUAUUAAAAAGAGGUUUAUAUUGUAAAAUAAACUAAUCAUAUUUAAUAUUUUAUUAUUUUACUAAUUACUCAUCUCACUCAAAAUAAAGUAGGGUUGAAGUAAUUAUUCAAUUUUUUUAAAAUGAAGCUAUAUAUUGGAGAUAUUCGUAGAAAACUUUGGUACCUAUAAUAAACCUAGAUUAUUAAUAACUAAAUAUGAAAUUAGUGUUUUAGUUACCUGACCAACUAAAAAACAUAAUCGUCUUUCAAAAAGCAUGGAAAUGACAAAUUCGAAUUGAUCCAAGGCCCUGGCCCUGGCCCAUAUCGCCACACAUUGAUACGCUCUAUUAAGGAAAAAUUCAAAGAAUGAAGGAAACUAAUUAUUAUAUCCAUUAAAAGAAAAAACAAAUCAACAAACAGUUCUUCCAAGCUCCAACUUGAGAUUCAAAUUCUCAACCAUCCCCAAACUCAGAUCCAAACACGCCACCCUCUUCCCACUGCUCGACUUCUUCAACGUCGUCAUCGUCGGCUCCGGCAAUAACGCCCGUGUAACCAACGCUGCUCCGCCGCCAAUCUCGUUCCUGUGUCUCCUCAUGUGACCUCCUAGAGCUUGUCCCAUCGGAAACUCCACUCCGCAUAUCGGACAAGGGUGCGACGAAGGAGCUUUGGCUUUCUUCACCAAUCCAGAGAGACUCUCAUUGUUGUUAGGUUUCUUGUGACUCGCACGGUGACCUCCCAACGCUUGAAACGAAUGAAACUCUUUCAAACACGUUUUACAUGUGAAAACGCGUUUUUGAUCCCCACCUUUUUGUUCGACUCUUGAUAAAAGCAUCAGACAGUUCGCCGCCUUAGCCUCCACCGUCGGGUUAAUCUCAGAGAUUGCAACCAUUUUUGUUUUUCUUUUCAGAUGUUAAAACGAAACGAUUAAAGGUUUGUGUAUGUGUUUGGUGUGAUUGUUAUUGUUGUGAGUUGUUGUUGUGUUUCUGUCUGUUUGUUUGGGAUGUAUUUAUAGAUAUGGAGUUGUGUGGACUGAAGACGUGUGGGAAGAUGACGGAUAUACCCUUGUGACUUGGUGGAUAAGGAAGUGGCUGGGAAGGAGUGUGGUGUUAUCGUAAUUACGUGGAAAAUGAAGGGGUAGAGAACGAAGAUGCGAGUUAUGUGGUCACGACUUGCGACACCGCGUAGCUUUGGAGACUUUCGUGUGGAUGAGAAUCUUCCUCGUGCUUUCUCGAACCCUUAGAUAUUUUUUUUGAAAACAUUAAUACUCUGAGUUUGAUUUAGGGUCCGAAUGGUGACCGCGGAAUUAGUAAAAUAAGCGGGACGGAAUUUAGGUGCGGGACGGUUCAACUGCGGUUCGUGCGUUUUGCGGGACAAGUGCGGUUUUGAUAAAAUUAGCGGUGCGGAAUUGUGUUGAUUGGUGAAAAUCUAUAGUACAGAAUUAAACAGUUAAGAAAAAUUUAAAUAAUGUAAAAUAGAUAUAUCAAUAUAUUUAAUAUAAUUAAAAUGAAAAUUGUUUAUUUAGUGUUAUGGUCUUCUAGUUACUACUUACUACACCCUGCGCGUGAUUUUCUCAGCCGUCUCUAGAUACUAUAUUUUAUAAUCAGCCUCCUGGAUAUUUUUGAUUCUUUUUUUUUUUUUUUUUGAAAGAAUGUUAAAUUAAUUCAAACAAAAAGCUGUUUUACACUUUGUGUUACAUUGGGAUAGAAAUUUUUUUAAAACUCAAACCUAUCUAUAACCUAUCUCGUUGCAAACCAUAGAACUAAACCUCCCGUGUGCGCUCGGGCGCGGAUGGAAGACAAUGGAUAUUUUUGAUUCAUACAAAUGUACUUUUAAAAAUCAUGGUUUGGAUUCCUAACUUAUUUUAUUAGCUUAUACCAAAUAAAACUGAAAACAGAAAACAGUAUUAUUGGUUUCUUUUUUUUUGUACAAUUUUUUUUGCUUAUAGCAAUUUUUAUUUACUUAUUUAAAUUAUAAUUUAUCCAGAAGUAUGAUAUAUACUGGAAUAGCUAGCAAAGAGUGUUUGUAUCUCUUGAGGAAGAAAAAGAACAAUUUGUUAUAGAAUGUUCUAUAAAAACUGAUGUCAGCAAUGACCAUUUUACAGUUGAAUCCCAGCGAAGGCAUGACAAAACAAGAUGCGUGAAACGUAGGCGCCGUGUGGAGUAAGUGAGAGUAAAUUAACGAGGCGAUAUGUACGGAGACUUGGUGUAAACGUGGGAAGCAAGAAGAGGAGAUAAUUUAAAAAAAGGGGAGAGUGACGUGGAUCUUCUUCUAGUACAUGUUUCACGCGGUCUAAACUUGGUUAAGUAGUUGUUUAUUAUAUGCCUUAACAUUCUUGUUUUCACAUUCCCC
rnacentral:lncRNA from 1 species